rnacentral:misc_RNA from 1 species
UCGCGGCUUAUCACCGGCAGUCCCCUUAGAGUGCCCAACUGAAUGAUGGCAACUAGAGACGGGGGUUGCGCUCGUUGCGGGACUUAACCCAACACCUCACGGCACGAGCUGACGACAGCCAUGCAACACCUAUCGCAGGCCCUUACGGACACCACGUUUCCGCGGCUUUUCCUGCGUAGUUCAGCCCAGGUAAGGUUCUUCGCGUUGCAUCGAAUUAAGCCACAUGCUCCGCCGCUUGUGCGGGUCCCCGUCAAUUCCUUUGAGUUUUAGCCUUGCGGCCGUACUCCCCAGGCGGCGCGUUUAUCGCGUUAGCUUCGCCACGAGCGGGGUCGAUUCCGCCCACAGCAAAUGCGCACCGUUUACGGCUAGGACUAC